UACGGAGGGUGCAAGCGUUAUCCGGAUUCACUGGGUUUAAAGGGUGCGUAGGUGGACUUGUAAGUCAGUGGUGAAAGCCCGGAGCUCAACUCCGGAACUGCCAUUGAUACUGCAGGUCUUGAGUACACUUGAGGUGGGCGGAAUACAUCAUGUAGUGGUGAAAUACUUAGAUAUGAUGUAGGACACCGAUUGCGAAGGCAGCUCACUAAAUUGUAACUGACACUGAGGCACGAAAGCGUGGGGAUCAAACAGG
rnacentral:rRNA from 1 species